CAGGUACCCACGAACAAUCCCACCCGGAGUAUACUCUUUUUAAUCUCUUGUGUGGACCUAAGGGCUCCGAGA
rnacentral:snoRNA from 1 species